AUUGAACGCUGGCGGCAGGCCUAACACAUGCAAGUCGAACGGCAGCACAGAGAGCUUGCUCUCGGGUGGCGAGUGGCGGACGGGUGAGUAAUGUCUGGGAAACUGCCUGAUGGAGGGGGAUAACUACUGGAAACGGUAGCUAAUACCGCAUAAUGUCGCAAGACCAAAGUGGGGGACCUUCGGGCCUCACACCAUCGGAUGUGCCCAGAUGGGAUUAGCUAGCAGGCAGGGUAAUGGCCUACCUGGGCGACGAUCCCUAGCUGGUCUGAGAGGAUGACCAGCCGCACUGGAACUGAGACACGGUCCAGACUCCUACGGGAGGCAGCAGUGGGGAAUAUUGCACAAUGGGCGCAAGCCUGAUGCAGCCAUGCCGCGUGUAUGAAGAAGGCCUUCGGGUUGUAAAGUACUUUCAGCGAGGAGGAAGGCAUUGCGGUUAAUAACCGCAGUGAUUGACGUUACUCGCAGAAGAAGCACCGGCUAACUCCGUGCCAGCCGCCGCAGUAACAC
rnacentral:rRNA from 1 species